rnacentral:sRNA from 1 species
AAAAAGUUGAAAAUGGCGGAACAGAGAGGUGCACGAUUGUCAGAGGAAACAAAGAGAAGGAUUUUAGCAAUUAGGAAAGAAGAAAGAAGUCUGGGGAAGAUCUGAAGUGUUCUUUGUUUGAGAUACGGUGUGAAAGUUAGUAGACAGGGGAUUUACAUGUUCCUGAAGAAGUGGAAUCGCGAUUAGACACUUGUGAGGAAAACAAGAGUGCCCGGGAUCGGCCAGACUAAACUGAAGGAAAUUCACAAAGACCUUAUUCAGAUGUGGCAAAUGGAAAACGAUGAACUGACUUGUGGUGAGAUUCGAGAGAAACUGAAGGACAGUGUUGGAUUAGACGUGUCACCUGCGCUUAUCUCGAAAGUGAGGAAAGACCUAGGAUGGCAAGCCAAAACUGGAAAUAGGACAUCAGCUCAUCAGUAGGAAAAAAGUGAGGGAGAGAUUGCAGUGGUGUUUGAAAGCUGUUGAAGACUUCAAGAAUGUGAUAUUCACCGACGAAACAACAGUAGAGAUGUGCUCAGCCGGGAGACUCCACUUUUUCCAUAAAUCCUCGGAGAUACAGAAGAAAACAUCUAGGAGGAGUCGUCCUAAACAUUCUUACAAGGUACACGUUUGGGGAGGUAUUUUCUACGAAGGGAGAACGGACAUAUGCAUGUUUACAGGGACAAUGGAUUAUGUCAUAUACCAAGGGAUCAUAGAGAAGAACCUAAUCCCUUUUGCAGAGAAAAAAUUUCCAAAUGGAUUCAGAAUCUAUCAGGGUAAUGACAGCAAACAUGUGUCAAAAUCAACAAAGGAGUGGAUGUACCAGAAGAAUCUCUUGGACCAGAUCAUGAAAACACCAGCUUCAUCACCAGACAUUAACCCAAUUGAAAACGUGUGGGCUGCUAUGAAACUAUAUCUCACAAAGACUGUGAAACCAAAGAAGAAGGAAGAACUUGUUGCUGGGAUCAGAGAUUUCUGGAAUGGCCUUUCCGCUGAUGGCUGCCAGAAAUUCAUCGACCAUAUUCACAAGGUGAUCCCAGCAGUUGUUUUGAACAGUGGGGAACAGUUAGGGUAUUAGAUGUGCUGUUCUUCAUAUGAUUAUGAACUUGAGUGAACAUGUCCAUCAGGAGAGGAUGCUUUGUUUUGAUAAAGACACUGCAGGCAUAUUGAAUUAAUGUGUACAAUAUUCAAAUUCUUUUGUAUGUAACAUAUUGAAAUUCUUUUGUAUGUAUUGAGCUGAUGAUAUCACCAUGCAAUGUCUAACUUUUCAUAUAUAUUCUUCUCUUAUAGUAUGUACAUAUAAAAAUGCGUACGUU